GAGUUUGAUCAUGGCUCAGGAUGAACGCUGGCUACAGGCUUAACACAUGCAAGUCGUGGGGAAACGGCAUUAUGUGCUUGCACAUUCUGGACGUCGACCGGCGCACGGGUGAGUAUCGCGUAUCCAACCUGCCCCUUACUUGGGGAUACCCCGUUGAAAGACGGCCUAAUACCCGAUGUGUUUCAUUGACGGCAUCCGAUAUGAAACAAAGGUUUUCCGGUAAGGGAUGGGGAUGCGUCUGAUUAGCUUGUUGGCGGGGCAACGGCCCACCAAGGCGACGAUCAGUAGGGGUUCUGAGAGGAAGGUCCCCCACAUUGGAACUGAGACACGGUCCAAACUCCUACGGGAGGCAGCAGUGAGGAAUAUUGGUCAAUGGACGCAAGUCUGAACCAGCCAAGUAGCGUGCAGGAUGACGGCCCUAUGGGUUGUAAACUGCUUUUAUGUGGGAAUAAAUUGGCGCACGUGUGCGCCAUUGCAUGUACCUCAUGAAUAAGGACCGGCUAAUUCCGUGCCAGCAGCCGCGGUAAUACGGAAGGUCCGGGCGUUAUCCGGAUUUAUUGGGUUUAAAGGGAGUGUAGGCGGUCUGUUAAGCGUGUUGUGAAAUUUAGGUGCUCAACAUUUAACUUGCAGCGCGAACUGUCAGACUUGAGUACACGCAGCGCAGGCGGAAUUCAUGGUGUAGCGGUGAAAUGCUUAGAUAUCAUGAGGAACUCCGAUCGCGAAGGCAGCCUGCGGGAGUGUUACUGACGCUUAAGCUCGAAGGUGCGGGUAUCGAACAGGAUUAGAUACCCUGGUAGUCCGCACAGUAAACGAUGGAUGCCCGCCGUUGGCGCCCUGCGCCUGCGGCCAAGCGAAAGCAUUAAGCAUCCCACCUGGGGAGUACGCCGGCAACGGUGAAACUCAAAGGAAUUGACGGGGGCCCGCACAAGCGGAGGAACAUGUGGUUUAAUUCGAUGAUACGCGAGGAACCUUACCCGGGCUUGAAUUGCAGUCGCUGCCCACAGAGACGUGGGCUUCCCUUCGGGGUGUCUGUGAAGGUGCUGCAUGGUUGUCGUCAGCUCGUGUCGUGAGAUGUUGGGUUAAGUCCCGCAACGAGCGCAACCCCUAUCUUAUGUUGCCAGCACGUGAUGGUGGGAACUCAUGAGAGACUGCCGCAGACAAUGCGGAGGAAGGCGGGGAUGACGUCAAAUCAUCAUGCCCCUUAUGACCUGGGCUACACACGUACUACAAUGGGAGUUAAUAGACGGAAGCGAGAUCGCGAGAUGGAGCAAACCCGAGAAACACUCUCUCAGUUCGGAUCGUAGGCUGCAACUCGCCUACGUGAAGUCGGAAUCGCUAGUAAUCGCAGGUCAGCAUACUGCGGUGAAUACGUUCCCGGGCCUUGCACACACCGCCCGUC
rnacentral:rRNA from 1 species